rnacentral:rRNA from 1 species
AAACCUGAGAAACCCGAAAGUUCGAAUGAAAAGAUUCAAUAUUCUUCAAUUGGUUGUACAUUUACUUAUGUGAUUUUGUGAUAGUUUUGUUAAUUCUUUUACCCUCACGGGUGGGAAUAUACAUAUUCUACACCACUUUGUUUAUGAACUAAAUACAACUAUGAAGGUAUGCACUUCUUUUCUAGUAGGACGUUGCGACCCAUUGAAUGUUAAUCUAAGGAUACUUGUUCAAGCCUAUUCUCAUUUUACUUAACUGUAUAUUUGAGACUACAGGUAGAGUAUCCUGAAUAACUGUUCGAUGGUAUUUAUAAAACCAUAAUAUUGGAUCGCCAUUCGUGGCAUUUGGUAUUCGUUCAAGUAUGUAAGGUAAUUUGAAUGUCCCAGGCACAUGUACUGGCUUUGAAUCCUAACUACUGUUAGAAUGAAAUUUACUAUCAAAUAGUAUCCUUUUAUUGGUCAGCAACGCUGUUGCUUUGGGUACUUUCAGGAC